rnacentral:rRNA from 1 species
UAGUCCACGCCCUAAACGAUGGAUACUAGACGUGGGAGUUUCUAAUAGCUUCCGUGUCGUAGCUAACGCGUUAAGUAUCCCGCCUGGGGAGUACGGUCGCAAGAUUAAAACUCAAAGGAAUUGACGGGGGCCCGCACAAGCGGUGGAGCAUGUGGUUUAAUUCGAUGCUACGCGAAGAACCUUACCUAGGCUUGACAUCCUGCGCUACCUUGGGAAACCAAGGGUUCUCUUUUGAGACGCAGUGACAGGUGCUGCAUGGCUGUCGUCAGCUCGUGUUGUGAGAUGUUGGGUUAAGUCCCGCAACGAGCGCAACCCCCGUCGUUAGUUACCAGCAUUAAGUUGGGGACUCUAACGAGACUGCCGAGCUAUAAGCCGGAGGAAGGUGGGGAUGACGUCAAGUCCUCAUGGCCUUUAUGCCUAGGGCUACACACGUGCUACAAUGGGAGGGACAAAGCGCUGCUAACUCGCAAGAGUGUGCUAAUCGCAAAAACCCUUCCUCAGUUCGGA